GACGAACGCUGGCGGCGUGCUUAACACAUGCAAGUCGAACGGAAAGGCCCUGCUUUUGUGGGGUGCUCGAGUGGCGAACGGGUGAGUAACACGUGAGUAACCUGCCCUUGACUUUGGGAUAACUUCAGGAAACUGGGGCUAAUACCGGAUAGGAGCUCCUGCUGCAUGGUGGGGGUUGGAAAGUUUCGGCGGUUGGGGAUGGACUCGCGGCUUAUCAGCUUGUUGGUGGGGUAGUGGCUUACCAAGGCUUUGACGGGUAGCCGGCCUGAGAGGGUGACCGGCCACAUUGGGACUGAGAUACGGCCCAGACUCCUACGGGAGGAAGCAGGGGGGAAGAUUGAAAAAGGGGCGGAAGCCUGAUGCAGCAACGCCGCGUGCGGGAUGACGGCCUUCGGGUUGUAAACCGCUUUCGCCUGUGACGAAGCGGGAGUGACGGUAAGGGGUAAAGAAGCACCGGCUAACUACGUG
rnacentral:rRNA from 1 species